rnacentral:rRNA from 1 species
CUACGGGAUGCUCCAGUCAAGAAUCUUCCGCAAUGGGCGAAAGCCUGACGGAGCGACGCCGCGUGUGGGAAGACGCCUUUCGGGGUGUAAACCACUUUUCUGUGGGAAAAACUAGCGAUGGUACCUCAGGAAUAAGGGGCUGCUAACUACGUGCCAGCAGCAGCGGUAAUACGUAGGCCCCAAGCAUUAUCCGGAUUUAUUGGGCGUAAAGCGCUAAAAGGUGGUUUUGUAAGUCAGAUGUUAAAGACCGGAGCUCAACUCCGGGCCUGCUUCUGAAACUACUUAACUUGAGUAUGGGAGAGGCAAGUGGAAUUACCGGUGUAGCAGUAAAAUGCGUUAAUAUCGGUAGGAACACCAAUGGCGAAGGCAGCUUGCUGGAACAUUACUGACACUAAAUAGCGAAAGCGUAGGUAGCGAAUGGGAUUAGAUACCCCGGUAGUC